rnacentral:rRNA from 1 species
AUUGAACGCUGGCGGCAGGCUUAACACAUGCAAGUCGAGCGGGGUGAUGGUGCUUGCACUAUCACUUAGCGGCGGACGGGUGAGUAAUGCUUAGGAAUCUGCCUAUUAGUGGGGGACAACAUCUCGAAAGGGAUGCUAAUACCGCAUACGUCCUACGGGAGAAAGCAGGGGAUCACUUGUGACCUUGCGCUAAUAGAUGAGCCUAAGUCGGAUUAGCUAGUUGGUGGGGUAAAGGCCUACCAAGGCGACGAUCUGUAGCGGGUCUGAGAGGAUGAUGCGCCACACUAGGACUGAGACACGGCCCAGCAUCCUACGGGAGGCAGCAGUGGGGAAUAUUGGACAGUGGGGGGAACCCUGAUCCAGCCAUGCCGCGUGCGUGAAGAAGGCCUUAUGGUUGUAAAGCACUUUAAGCGAGGAGGAGGCUCUUUUGGUUAAUACCCAAGAUGUGUGGGCGUUACCCGCAGAAUAAGCACCGGCUAACUCUGUGCCAGCAGCCGCCGUAA